CUGGGCUCCUUCCCUGAGCCUUGAGACUAGCUGCCCUGCUUCCAGGCUCGUCAGAGAAAAAGGCCAGGAAACCCAAGUGAUUACCUCUGCCAGCAUGACUCCCCCACCCCUCAGCCUGGUAGACCCAGCCUUGGAAAUGAAACAAAGCCCAGCCAAUGAGAAACACCACAGCUCAGCCAAUGAGAAACGCCGCAGCUCAGCCAAUGAGAGAUGCCGCAGCUCAGCCAAUGAGAGACGCCACAGCUCAGUCAAUGAGAAAUGCCACAGCUCAGCCAAUGAGAGAUGCCGCAGCUCAGCCAAUGAGAGAUGCCGCAGCUCAGCCAAUGAGAGAUGCCACAGCUCAGCCAAUGAGAAGCUGUUGUCACCCUGAACUGUAACUUCCCUCCAAUGGACUUUCCUUUAGAACAACCUCUCCUUACUCCCCACUUUUCUCUAGAAAAAGCAGCUCCCCUCCUUUAUUUUCUGGAUUUGC
rnacentral:lncRNA from 1 species